rnacentral:rRNA from 1 species
UACGUAGGGUGCGAGCGUUAAUCGGAAUUACUGGGCGUAAAGCGUGCGCAGGCGGCUUUGCAAGACAGAUGUGAAAUCCCCGGGCUCAACCCAGGAACUGCACCUGAAACUACCAGUCUUGAGUGGUGGAGAGGGAAGUGGAAUUCCUGGUGUAGAGGUGAAAUUCGUAGAUAUCAGGAGGAACACCAGUGGCGAAGGCGGCUUCCUGGACACCAACUGACGCUGAGACGCGAAAGCGUGGGGAGCAAACAGG